rnacentral:rRNA from 1 species
GACGAACGCUGGCGGCGUGCUUAACACAUGCAAGUCGAACGGAAAGGCCCUGCUUUUGUGGGGUGCUCGAGUGGCGAACGGGUGAGUAACACGUGAGUAACCUGCCCUUGACUUUGGGAUAACUUCAGGAAACUUGGGCUAAUACCGGAUAGGAGCUCCUGCUGCAUGGUGGGGGUUGGAAAGUUUCGGCGGUUGGGGAUGGACUCGCGGCUUAUCAGCUUGUUGGUGGGGUAGUGGCUUACCAAGGCUUUGACGGGUAGCCGGCCUGAGAGGGUGACCGGCCACAUUGGGACUGAGAUACGGCCCAGACUCCUACGGGAGGAAGCAGUGGGGAAUAUUGCACAAUGGGCGGAAGCCUGAUGCAGCAACGCCGCGUGCGGGAUGACGGCCUUCGGGUUGUAAACCGCUUUCGCCUGUGACGAAGCGUGAGUGACGGUAAUGGGUAAAGAAGCACCGGCUAACUACGU